GUGCUCGCUUCUGCAGCACAUACACUAAAAUUGGAAAGAUAAUGAGAAGAAGAUUAGCAUGGCCCCUGUACAAGGAUAAUACACAAAUUCAUGAAGCAUUCAAUAAUUUU
ensembl:snRNA LOC120096456 U6 spliceosomal RNA